GCGGGUAUGGUGAAACUGGCAAACACGUAUGGUUCAGGUCCAUAUGUCGCGAGACUUGCAGGUUCAAGUCCUGUUACCCGCACCA
rnacentral:tRNA from 1 species